CCGAAAGGCGUAGGCGAUGGAUAACAGGUUGAUAUUCCUGUACCACCUCCUCACCAUUUGAGCAAUGGGGGGACGCAGGAGGAUAGGGUAAGCGCGGUAUUGGAUAUCCGCGUCCAAGCAAUUAGGCUGGGAAAUAGGCAAAUCCGUUUCCCGUAAAGGCUGAGCUGUGAUGGCGAGCGAAUUAUAGUAGCGAAGUUCCUGAUUCCACACUGCCAAGAAAAGCCUCUAGCGAGGUGAGAGG
rnacentral:rRNA from 1 species